AUUGAACGCAGGCGGCAGGCUUAACACAUGCAAUUCGAGCGAGCGGCGGACGGGUGAGUAAUGUCUGGUAAACUGCCUGAAGGAGGGGGAUAACUACUGGAAACGGUAGCUAAUACCGCAUACCAUCAGAUGUGCCCAGAUGGGAUUAGCUAGUAGGUGGGGUAAUGGCUCACCUAGGCGCCGAGCCCUAGCUGGUCUGAGAGGAUGACCAGCCACACUGGAACUGGGACAAGGUCCAGACUCCUACGGGAGGCAGCAGGGGGGAAUAUGGCACAAUGGGCGCAAGCCUGAUACAGCCAUGCCGCGUGUGUGAAGAAGGCAUUCGGGUUGUAAAGCACUUUCAGCGAGGAGGCGUUACUCGCAGAAGAAGCACCGGCUAACGCCGUGCCAGCAGCCGCGGUAAUUC
rnacentral:rRNA from 1 species